GGUCCCGUGGCUCAGUUGGUUAGAGCGCCACCUUUACACGGUGGAUGUCCCCGGUUCGAGUCCGGGCGGGACCACAA
rnacentral:tRNA from 1 species